CGUAGGGUGCGAGCGUUAAUCGGAAUUACUGGGCGUAAAGCGUGCGCAGGCGGUUUAGUAAGACAGGCGUGAAAUCCCCGGGCUCAACCUGGGAACUGCGCUUGUGACUGCUAAGCUAGAGUACGGCAGAGGGGGGUGGAAUUCCACGUGUAGCAGUGAAAUGCGUAGAGAUGUGGAGGAACACCAAUGGCGAAGGCAGCCCCCCUGGGUCGAUACUGACGCUCAUGCACGAAAGCGUGGGUAGCAAACAGGAUUAGAUACCCUGGUAGUCCACGCCCUAAACGAUGUCAACUAGGUGUUGGGAGGGUAAAACCUUUUAGUACCGGAGCUAACGCGUGAAGUUGACCGCCUGGGGAGUACGGCCGCAAGGUUA
rnacentral:rRNA from 1 species